rnacentral:tRNA from 1 species
UCUAAUGUGGCAGAAUAGUGCAAUGGAUUUAAGCUCCAUAUAUAAAGGUAAGCUUUUUUUUAGAA